rnacentral:rRNA from 1 species
CGGUUCUCGUUAGAUCACCGAACUCAAGCAUCAUUGGGCGCGGUAAGUACUUGGGUGGGUGACCACCAGGGAACACCGCGUGCCGUU